rnacentral:tRNA from 1 species
GCCGGGAUGGCUCAGUUGGCAGAGCGUCGGACUCAUAAGCAUAUGCUGAGAUAUCCGAAGGCCUCGGGUUCAAUCCCCGAUCCCGGCA